UACGAAGGGGGCGAGCGUUGUUCGGAAUUACUGGGCGUAAAGGGCGCGCAGGCGGCUCUGAAAGUCAGAUGUGAAAGCCCCGGGCUUAACCUGGGAAUUGCAUUUGAUACUCUGGAGCUUGAGUACGGGAGAGGAUAGUGGAAUUCCCAGUGUAGAGGUGAAAUUCGUAGAUAUUGGGAAGAACACCGGUGGCGAAGGCGGCUAUCUGGACCGUAACUGACGCUGAGCGCGAAAGCGUGGGGAGCAAACAGG
rnacentral:rRNA from 1 species